rnacentral:rRNA from 1 species
UACGUAGGGGGCAAGCGUUAUCCGGAUUUACUGGGUGUAAAGGGAGCGUAGACGGAGCAGCAAGUCUGAUGUGAAAGGCGGGGGCUCAACCCCUGGACUGCAUUGGAAACUGUUGGUCUUGAGUACCGGAGAGGUAAGCGGAAUUCCUAGUGUAGCGGUGAAAUGCGUAGAUAUUAGGAGGAACACCAGUGGCGAAGGCGGCUUACUGGACGGUAACUGACGUUGAGGCUCGAAAGCGUGGGGAGCAAACAGG